AAAUUGAAGAGUUUGAUCAUGGCUCAGAUUGAACGCUGGCGGCAGGCCUAACACAUGCAAGUCGAACGGUAACAGGAAGCAGCUUGCUGCUUUGCUGACGAGUGGCGGACGGGUGAGUAAUGUCUGGGAAACUGCCUGAUGGAGGGGGAUAACUACUGGAAACGGUGGCUAAUACCGCAUAACGUCGCAAGACCAAAGAGGGGGACCUUCGGGCCUCUUGCCAUCAGAUGUGCCCAGAUGGGAUUAGCUUGUUGGUGAGGUAACGGCUCACCAAGGCGACGAUCCCUAGCUGGUCUGAGAGGAUGACCAGCCACACUGGAACUGAGACACGGUCCAGACUCCUACGGGAGGCAGCAGUGGGGAAUAUUGCACAAUGGGCGCAAGCCUGAUGCAGCCAUGCCGCGUGUAUGAAGAAGGCCUUCGGGUUGUAAAGUACUUUCAGCGGGGAGGAAGGUGUUGUGGUUAAUAACCGCAGCAAUUGA
rnacentral:rRNA from 1 species